UUCUUUCUCUCCCUCUCUUUCCGAUACGACCUCUCACUUCUCAUGGAUCUCGAAUGUAAUGAUAUUUUUUUCAUUUUCAUCAGUCUUUUUUAUUUUUUUUCUUAACACGCAACUAAUUUGAUUGGCCUUUGGGUCUAGGGAAGAAUGUGCUUCUAAAAUAUAGAUCUAAUGAAUGAGUUUUGUUUGUUUAAUUACUUUUGAUAUGAUGUCAAAUGCAAUACUAAAAAUUUUUAAUGAUGAAAAUGAUACCAUGUUGGGUGUGAAAAUAUAUUGCAAACAUGGAGACUUACUUCCAAUGCAAACUUCAUGGUCAAGGACAAUCCAGGUCGAAGAUUUUGGUCUUGUCCACACUAUCGUGAGAAUGCAUGCAACUUCUUUAGAUGGAGGGAUCGUUAAAAUGUUGAUAUACGAUCUAAGUUUGUUAUUCUCAGAUUGGUGAACAAAAUUAAGAAGCUGGAAACUGUUGAUGAAAGUCAUAUUAAAAGAAGUACCGAAUGAGGGAUGAAGGAGAAGAAGAAGACCAAAUGUUGUAGCAUGUGGAAGCUAAUCUUGGUGUUUUUUUCUUGUAUUAUUAAUCAUUACCAAGAAGAAUAUUGUAGAGGAUAGAGAAUUCUUAUGUAGUUGUGUACAACCAUCAAAAUUAUCAUAGUUGUGGAAAUAAAAAAACGUAGUUUUGCAUUCAUGA